AAAUCACUUUUCAGACUGUUAAGAAAAAACACGACCGGUCUCGCUCGCUGAUGAAAAGGAAGUGACCGAAAGCAAUUUGAUUCAGCUUGAAUACAAAUAAUACGUCAGUAUAUUUUCGGCAUAUUUUGAAAUUUGUGACGUAGUUUCGGUAUAUUUCUGAGUGUCUGUUUACCAUUGCACGUAUGAAAAUAAAAGUGAAUAAUAAAAGUAAGCAAAAAUAAGCAUUCAACUUUAUCAAGUGUGUGUCAAGUGUCGAGAAAGAGAAUACGUUUUUAGACAGCUGCGACAGAGCCUGGAAUAUAGCUGGAAAAUACGAAAGAAACCCUCAUACAUAUGUAUGUAUGCUGUGCGCGUGUGUGAGUGUGGUGCAUUCAAGGCUGAUAAAACAACACAAAAAAACAGAGCAAGUGACUAACUAAAAGGCGACAAACACAAAACUACGCGCUAUUCAUUACGCACGGAGCAACAACAAUA